GAUGAACGCUGGCGGCGUGCCUAACACAUGCAAGUCGAGCGAUCUUCUUCGGAAGAGAGCGGCGGACGGGUGAGUAACGCGUGGGUAACCUGCCCUGUACACACGGAUAACAUACCGAAAGGUAUGCUAAUACGGGAUAAUAUGCUUUUAUCGCAUGGUAGAAGUAUCAAAGCUCCGGCGGUACAGGAUGGACCCGCGUCUGAUUAGCUAGUUGGUAAGGUAACGGCUUACCAAGGCGACGAUCAGUAGCCGACCUGAGAGGGUGAUCGGCCACAUUGGAACUGAGACACGGUCCAAACUCCUACGGGAGGCAGCAGUGGGGAAUAUUGCACAAUGGGCGGAAGCCUGAGGCAGCAACGCCGCGUGAGCGAUGAAGGCCUUCGGGUCGUAAAGCUCUGUCCUCAAGGAAGAUAAUGACGGUACUUGAGGAGGAAGCCCCGGCUAACUACGUGCCAGCCGCCGCGGUAA
rnacentral:rRNA from 1 species